AGAACGAACGCUGGCGGCAUGCCUAACACAUGCAAGUCGAACGAGACCUUCGGGUCUAGUGGCGCACGGGUGCGUAACGCGUGGGAAUCUGCCCUUAGGUACGGAAUAACAGUGAGAAAUUACUGCUAAUACCGUAUGAUGUCUUCGGACCAAAGAUUUAUCGCCUAGGGAUGAGCCCGCGUUGGAUUAGCUAGUUGGUGGGGUAAAGGCCUACCAAGGCGACGAUCCAUAGCUGGUCUGAGAGGAUGAUCAGCCACACUGGGACUGAGACACGGCCCAGACUCCUACGGGAGGCAGCAGUGGGGAAUAUUGGACAAUGGGCGAAAGGCCUGAUCCAGCAAUGCCGCGUGAGUGAAGAAGGCCUUCGGGUUGUAAAGCUCUUUUACCCGGGAAGAUAAUGACUGUACCGGGAGAAUAAGCCCCGGCUAACUCCGUGCCAGCACGCCGC
rnacentral:rRNA from 1 species